GUUCCCAAACCUGUGGGGUGGCCGCCUGGGCCCGCGAGGGCGGGAAGGGCUCGAGUACAGUGACCCAGCGGGAGCUGUGUGUGAACGGGAAAGCUCUUGGAACAGUCUUGCCCCCCCCCCCCCCCCUCUUACGGGCGCCUCUUCUCUUUUUGGGAACGUGGCGAGCAAAAAAUGCUUGAGCCAGUUUACAAAGAAAAGGAGUCGGAGCCAGGGCGGUUAUGUGGGACGUGGAUGCAGACGCAGGCGGAGGCGCCAACUGCGGGGAUGGCUAGGGUGAUCACAGCUGCCCCGGGGGCGCGGACACCCCGGCAGCUCCGGCCAGCGGAGCUCCCCCACCGCACGUGUCAGGUCCUAGCAGAAACGCAGCGUCUGUGGCCAAGGGCCAGGAAUGCGGCCG
rnacentral:lncRNA from 1 species